AGCCUCUCCCACGCGUGGAUCAGCCUGUGGAAACGUGACGAACAGCUGCGAACAGAGUCCGGUCCACGCACGGACCAGAAUCCACGAUCGACCUGGACCCUGACCGCGGUCCGGUUCCUGUUUUCCCCGGAUCAGAGGACACACCGUGACCCUGCUCCUGCGCUCAGUUGUAAAGAGAACCCAUAGGUGGCAGUAAUGCGUCCCAAAGAGUGUCAGCUGACCGAGGGAAGGGGGAGGUCCAGGAUCAGCUCACUGUGAGUCACAGAUCUCCAAAAUAAACCACUAGGUGUUGGUAAACACACACACCGUGAGGAGAUUCACCAGUGGACCAGGACCAGGACCAGGACCAGGACCACAGGACCAGGUGGUGGAUCUACGGUGUUAUCUCAUUGGACGACAGCAGAGGCAGUGGAGCAGGAAAACCAGCCGCAGGCCCGACGUCAGAGGCUGGAGGUCCGUGGAUCCUCCCUGACUCCUGCACGGGCCCUUUGUGUCGGCGGAGCGGAGUCUAUUUCUGUCCCACCACAGACGGAGGGAGUGACGGAGCAGCUCCGCUCUCUCCUCCACUCCUCCACCUGGAUCUCCGCACUCAAUCUUUAAUAAACACCAGCAGCCUGGCACCAUGACGGAGCACGGGUGACGAGUCUGUGCAAAAAUGAAAUAAAGUUCAUGCACUUCGACAUGUCAAAACCAAAUGCUGAGAGUUUUAGGGGAAACAGAAAAAAAGAAAAGAAAAUUAAAUAAAUUAAAUAAUUGAAAUGUGACUUUUUUUUCUUCUGAGAACAAGAAUGUUUUGUUUUAAAUCGUGAGAUUAAAAAAAGAGAGAGAGUCAAAAACAGGUCAGGACCACAGAUGGAAAAGUUUCUUGCACGACUGCACGAUUAAAUUAUUCAUAUAUUAUGUUGUGUUUUUAUAAAACAUUUCCUUAUUUCCUUCUGUUUUCUCACCAUCAUCAAACAUGUAAAGUCUCUCACUUCAGUCUCUUUUAUCUGAGCUUCGUCACAGUGACGUCAUGGAGGAAAUCGACAUGAAUUCAUUCAUUCAUUCAUUUUUGUCACAGAUGUUCCUCUGAUUUCACGGGUCAGGUGAC